rnacentral:lncRNA from 1 species
GUUCAAAUCCCAGCAACCACGUGGUGACUCACAACCAUCCGCAACAAGAUCUGACUCCCUCUUCUGGGGUGUCUGAAGACAGCUACAGUGUACUUACAUAUAUUAAUAAAAUAAAUCUUAAAAAAAAAAAAACUUUAAAAAAAAAAAAAAAGAAGGUUCUCUGAGCACAGUUGACAGCAGCAUAUAUGGACAUUAACACAGUUUCUAGGAUGCAAAUCCAAUCAGAGAAUAGUUGGUUAUCCCCAUGACAACUUGGACUUGUCACUGCUGCACCAGUGGGCUCAUCUUGACUGCCACUUAAUAUUGCCUUUCCUUUAUCUUUUAAAGGCCCAUCCUUUACAUAUAUUUUGCUCCUAGCCCCAUUCUUAUACAUUGAUUAGUCUAAAAAGAAAAUGCAGAUGGCACCCUAAGAAGUAGUUUCAGAUCAACUUUGAAGAAAAAACAGGCUAAGAUGGCUCCUAAAAAGAACAUCCCUGCUCAGCCCAUGGAUUUCCUGCACAUCGUCUUACUGAGUCCUAUGCUAAUAAAAGUUCUUUAUAUUCCCAGUGCCCCAGAAGAUAGAAACCUGAGAUAAAGAGUCAGCUUUGUUGUCUUCGGAGUCAGUCUUAUAUAAACUUGCUUUCCUUUACCAAAACAAACUUUGAAUCUGACAAAACUACCCUAAAUAAAACAUAGCCUUAAAAAUUGCUUUUGUUAAAAAAGCAUUGAUGGCUUUCUUGAACCCACAGAUUACUUAAAAGAAGGAUGAAAGCCUGGUAUCCAAAGUGUGUGGUGUCUUCAGCAACAGAAUCUUACCUUCAAGUUUCAGGAAUCAGCCUAAAGCAAUAGCAAUGACUAUAUUGUGUUGGAAGUCUCUUGGACACUCCCUACCUUGAUGAAGAUGAAGCAGACAAAAACUAGCAUAUAUUAAGUGGAAAUAUAAGUACAGUCAUUUUGGAAAAACGGACAGAGCUAAAUGAAUAUAUGCCCAGUUCUACUCCUAAGUAUAUUCCCAUAUUUGAAAUGCAUGUACAAGGUUCAUUUUAUAAUGCCAGAUCAAGCAGUUAAUUUUGGAGGAAUCUAUAUGGUUAAAAAAUGCCUCUAAAUGCCUAGGUUUGACUCUCAGACUUCUUAGAUGUGUGAUUGACUGCCUCAGUUUCCUUGACCAUACCAAGGAGAUGAUAAUAAUUCUAUUCCCAUCGAGUUGUUGUGAGUUAUAAAUAGAAUGAUAAAAAGCUAAGAGGACUCUAGUGUUAACUAUUGCUGGUUUCUAGGUGAAUCAUAUGAGAACUAUAAUGGUUCCUAUUGAGUGGUUGAAUAUCGUCUGUAUUAUUUGAAUUAAUUCUUUUAUUUUAGUACAAUUGCCAUAAAUCUUUAAAAGUACAAAUAGAUUAAUUUGUUUCAAUAUGCUUUAAGUUUUAGUAUUGCCCCUCCCAUUUUAAUUAUUUUGUUAUUUCAUUUUUGCAACAUAGGACACUAUACUAUUCAAAGAAGUAGUAAUACAUUUAAAAGUAUAAAACUUCCUCUCAUAUGUCCCAUACCUCCUUAUAAAACUUUAUUCACUUACACAUUUGUCUUCUUUAGUAUGCCUUUUAUAAAUAUAAGAUACAUGCAUAUUUCUUAUUUUAUUGUACAUCAAAAUUAGCAUACUGCUGUGCUCUUUUUGUACAGUACUUUUUUUUUUUAACCUAAAGAUAAAUGGAAGCCAUGCUAAAUUUUUUGAAAGAGAUAUGCCUCAUUUUCUUUACAGCUACAUAAUACCCCAGCAGUUUUUAUAUAUAAAACAAGGUUUCUGUUUGGGUAAUGUGCAGUUAUUUUGUACUCAGGAACAAUGCUUCAAGGUAUACCCAAAGCGUGUGGUUUUUUAAACAUUAGAUCUGUGUUUCAAAACAUAUUUGUUAUGAAAGCUAAAUAUAAUAAAUAUUCAUAGAGCAAGCCAAAUGCUGCCAGGAGUGUAUAAAAGUAUGGCUUCCAAUAAUCUUACCAGUAGUGUGUGUGUUGAGCUGUUGUAGUUUGCCAACCUUUUGGAUGAGAAAUAAUGUUUCAAUGUGUAGUUUUAAUUUCUGUUAUCAUAAGGAAAAUUAAAUAUCUUUCCUUUUUUAGAUCCUUGUGUAUGUGCUUGUAUGAUAUUUGUGUGCAAGUAUGUGUGUAGACAUGGGUACAUAUAUGCUAGAAUAUGUUUGAAGGCCAGAGGACAAGCCUAGGUGUCUGUUUGAGGCGGGUUCUGCUUGCUACUGCAUUCACCAAGCUAGCCUGUCCACUGGCUUCCCACCUCUCCUGUGUCCUCCUCCCCUCUAGAUCACUGGAGCAGCAUUGGGGUUACGGAUACUCAUAGCUGUAUCCACACUUGGGUCCUCACACUUGCUUGGCAAGCACAUCACCCACUGAUCUAUCCGUCUCCCCAGCCUAACCAUCUUCUGUAUUGCCAAAGGUCAUUUCAUACCUCUCUGUGAAGUGCCUGUUCAGUUUUUCCACCACAUUUUUUACAGGAUUUUGUCUUUUAUUUUUUCCAUAUUUUAACACUUCUCUUAUGUUAAAGAUACAAACAUGUGAAACAUGUUGCUACUUUUCCCCCCAGUUUUCCAUUUGUCUCCUGUUAGAAUGGAUUCUGUAAUGCUCACGGUUUUUGUUUGUUUGUUUGUUUUUUGUUUUUUUGUUUUUUGGAUUGUGGUGUAGUUAUAUUCAUCAGUCUUUUUGUCUAUUCCAUCUGAUUUUUAGUCAUUGUUAAAAUCCUUGUACUUCUUAUUGUGGAGGAAUUCACUCAUGUUCACUUCAGAAACACUUAUACUUCCGUGUUUUAUUCAAGUUUCAUAUGUCCUUGCUCUCUGCAUUUCUCUAUCUACUUUUUUAUCUAUUUGUACACACCAUUGCCACACAGUUUUUAAUAAGCUUUGUCGACCCUGUUAGCAGCUGUUAACUUCCCAUCAAGGCUGUUGUUACUGUUUUCCAAGCUUGUAUGUUUUUUUUUCUUAUCAAAAUAAAGCUCCCUUGUUUCAUAACAUUUUUAUUGUUAUUUUUAUUGGGAUCAUAUUAAAUGUAUAAAGUACUGUAGAGGAGAACAAGCUAUCUUAUUGAUGGUGAAGUCCUAAGCAAAUACCAGGAUUGUGUUCAGCCCCUUUGACUGCUGUUUGCUUUCCUCCAGGUGGUGGUCGUGCAGGCCAUCAGUGCUCUCUGUCACAAGUACCCUCGGAAGCACAGCGUCAUGAUGACUUUUCUUUCCAACAUGCUUCGAGAUGAUGUAGGUAGUAGUCUACGUUUUAACAUAGGAAGUUGUUCUCUUAAAUUCCCUCGAUUGCUGUUAAAUACCACCACAGUGUUUUUGUUGUUAUUGUUUUUAACUCACUUCUUCAUGGUUUGUAUCAUUAUUUUUUUCUUUGAUGUUGUAAUGCAUAUAUUCAAUGUAUCUUAAUAAUGUCCACCCCUUUCCUGCCCCUGGAGGCUCUCCAACUCAACCCAGGACCUCCCAUUAGUAUUUUAAGCAUAUUUCUUUAUCAUGUGUUAAAUAUAUUUCUUUCUCAUUUCUGUAUACCAUGCAAACAUAUACAGAAUUCCAACUGCUGUAUUUAUUACAGCUAAUUAUUUUCCCACUUGAAGGGGAACAACUUUGUUUUUAUUGUUAUAUUAAAUAAAGUUAGUUGAAAUUUUAAUAUUAUAAGCAUGAAUCUUAAAAUAUAAGCAUUUCUUUAAAAUAAAAUUCUAAAAAGUUCCUUAAAAUGGGAACACCAUUGGUGGUGGGUGGUGGUUAGAUUU